AACACCCAUCACUUGAACUUGAACGCACUCGAUCCGUUUUGGCCUGGGCUUCUUCGGUGCAACUUUGUCGCGUCAAGAGCAUACAUGCAGACAUGCAAACAGGAAGUUUGGAGACUAAAGCUGAGGCUCUGAAAAGCCAGCUGGACCAGAGAGAUUUUACAAUCCCUGGCUAAGGCAGGCUAUUGUGCCUCAGCUGGGAACUGUGGUCAAAUCUGACCUGGCAUCGACCGGAGCCAGUGGAGGCUGAGGAGGCGCCAGGUAGAGGUCCAUGAUCCGGCAGCCGAAGACCAAGACUGUGGAACAGGUUUUGGAGUCUAAUUCAGAAGUGACACCAGCUGGAUUCCUGACAGGAAGUCGGUGAGGAAGUGACCCGGGAGCAGCGGGAAUGAGCCGGGACCCAGAUGGAGCAGCUCAUAGCACAGUAAACUGAACUCCAAGGACUGGAGGGCAGAAUAAAAGCGUGGGAGAGCAUCGCAGAGCUGCUGAAACAUUAUAACGUUUUAGUGUCUACAGCCCAGACUCCAGGUCUAGAUGCUUUGCAAGUCAACAACAGCCCUACUCAUAAAUUCAGACAGAAAAACAGACGUCCGCACCACGAGAGCUCAAAGCAGAGGUAAAGAAACCGAGAGCGAGCACAGGUAAAACAUACUCUGUUAUUCAGUUCUGUUUACUGCAUCACACACAAACAGCUCAUGACAGGACAGAAAGAGAUAAAAGAGUCUUUUUGUGCUCACAGACUGCGUACUCGCCAAACAACAAAAGCUGCUGUUUUUCUACAACCAUCCGUUGGUGUGACAGCACAGACAUGUCCAUUGAAUUCAGUCCAAAUAAAAGACAAGAUAUGACGGUGAAAGUGUGCAUUUGGCUUGCUUUACCAGUUUUGAUAAAACAUCUUGACAUUGCUUUAUUGUCUGUUUCAUGAGGAUUUACAAAUGGGGUUGUGCUGAUAGAACAGAAAACAUCACCAUAGAAAAAUACAGGUUCAUGCAUGCAGUCAUAUGUUUAAAUAUAUAUAUGAUCAUCAAACUGAAAUUCUCUCUCAGCUCUCCAGUGUCCUCUAGUGGCCAAUGGAUUUGCAUUUUCAGUAAAUUGUGUCUGGCAGAGAAAUAAAAUAUUGAAAAAUUGAUCAAAGUUCAUAAAACUUGGACAAAUAAUGAAAAAUAGUAAUACAAGCAGUAUCCUAAUCUCUCAAAAAGGUCUGUAAGUUCAGCAAGUCAUGCUAAUAAGCUCGACUAAUGAGCAAUUGUUUUGCUGAAUUCGAGUGCUGCUCAUUUGUUCUCAAAUCUUGAAGCUGUAAUAAGCCUUAAAUCUUGAUGGCAGCCCAGGCCUUGGACACAGAGACUCUACAAACUGUAAUUCCACUGAGAGUCUGUCUGAAAAACAACAUAACAAGCUGCAGAAUCUAGACUGAGCUGGUUGAGUCGAGUACAGAGUUAGCAGGUUAACAUUAACUUAGCUGAUAAGUGGUGGUGGAACACUGUAUCUUUUACUUUCAUUACAAAAAGGUACUGUGGCAGCACCUUGGUACACUAUCAUGACAACCAUAUUCAUGUACAAUAGAAUUUACAUCAAAAAUGCACCUCGGUACAUGAUGGCUUUUUGGUCAUCUAAUAUGAUAUUUUUACUAUGGUACCCUGGAGUAAAUGCCAUGGUACAGAGAUUUUUCUACAAUCCCUUAAUAAAAGGUGGCAGUACAAUGGUACAGUAAUAGUAAUACCAUAAUGGUAAUGGUACUGAACCAUGGUAGUAGCAUGUUAUUUUUUGUAAGAGAUGGUAUAUUUCAAAGUAUCAUAUUAUUAUCUUCUGUUACUAUCACUAAAUCAUGGUACUGCCACAGUAAUUUUCUGUAAAGUAUGGUCUUUAGUACUACGCAUUGCAUUUUAUUUUACAGUGUGUGCACUUACAGUGUACUUACUCAAGAAAAUAUUGUGUAAUAUAAGGAAGCGUGGACUUAAGUUUAAGUUAAGGUUCUGGCUUAGUACUUAGUUUUUACUCAUAUAUUGUAAUUACAUAGUAAUUAGAGAGUUACUAAUGGUGUUCUAUAAGGUAAAGAAUACCUUGGUAAAGAGACACCCUCUCCUUAGUGAGACUUUUUUUUUUUCUGUGGAGGUAAAGAAACUACAUUGAGUGAGAGAAUUAUACACUUAAUAAAGGUUUUUUAUUGGCAUAUUGUUCCAUGAGGAACGUUUAGCAUCCACUGAACCCUUUUAUUGCAUGAAAGGUUCUUAAUAGUGGGAAAAGAUUGACUAAGAAAAACAUGGUUCAUUUUAAAACUGUUCACUAAAAGCUUCUUUGGAGAACCCAAAUUGGUUCUACUUUGGCAUCCCUACGAAAACCCCUUUUUGGAAUCUUUAAAUAAAUAAUGAUGUGUAAAACUUACAACAACAACAACAAAAAAAAAAAAAAGCCAUUCAAAAGCACUUUUUAAAAUAAACAACCAAAACCAAAGUCUAGAUAAAUGCAUGUUAGACAUUGUAUACAGUAUCAGCGGUAGCCUGAUUCUACUCAUUCGUGUUUAAUGAGGAUGGAGUUUUCCCCCAAGCUCUGUAAUUACCUGAGUCAUUUGCCUAAAAUAUAGAGGGACUGCAUAAUUCCCAGGAGAGCUGCUUUUGUCUCCCUUUGCCUCAUUAGGGUGAGUACACAGAUCUCCAGCGGUGGAGCUCAUUGUAAGAGCUUAAGAAAGCCAAGGCAGGUAAUUGGGAGGUCAGCUCAGGCUCGGAAUUCCUGCGUUUGUGCUCUUCACUUCGGUUUCCAAACGACACAAGUGCUGGGAGUCUUUAGUUCACCCGCACUGGUAUUGAAAUCUCUUGAAGUGAGGUCAAACUCAAUGGAGAGGAAGGCAGCAAGAUGAAAUUGAGAUGACAGCUAGAGUGCAGGAACUAAAGAGACAGGCCUCAGGUGUUUAUCACCAUCACUCAAUGUCUGCAUGCUCACAUAUUCAUUGUUUAUCCUGAUGCAGGGUUUUUCCUCAAAUAACGUAAGAAGGAAUGGAAGCCUUUUCAGCCCAGCAAUUAGAUAAAUGCUUUCAAAAGCUUGGGGUGAAAUUUAAAAGAUUUAAUAAAGAUAAUAAAGAAAUACAUUUAUUUAGCAAGGAUGCAUUAAAUUGAUCAAAUGA